rnacentral:tRNA from 1 species
GUGUUGGUGGUUCUGUGGUAGAAUUCUCACCUUCCAUACAGGAGACCUGAGUUCAAUUCCCAGCUAAUGCA